AUGAUAGCAAGACAUUUCCCUGAAUCCCUGCAGCCCAUCCUAGGAGGGAAGAGAUAUACAAAUUUGGUGGGAAGGUGGAUCAUCCUUACUAAUAGCCUUCAGCAGAAGCAGAUUCUCAGCCAGAUAUGCUGCCAGAGAGGCUCUGAGAUCCACAAGAAGUGCAUCAGCCAGGAGGCAUCUGGAUCAAAAGCUGGUGAGGUUUGUGCUCCAGCUGUAACACCACAAGUGACCACGGGUAAACUUUUAGACCAUUACUGACCAAUAGCAUCUUCUGUGAUACUGAAACUGUGUGUAUUUAUGCUGUUCAAUGGGGUAGACACUGGCCACAUGUGGCUGUUGAGUACUUGAAAUGUAUCUAGUACAAGUAAGUGAGCUUUAAUUUUAAUUAAUUCUAAUUUAAGUUUGUAUAGCUGGGUUUAGCUAAUAUUUGCCAUGUGACAGUAUAGUUUUUGACAGUAAUAACCAGCACGAUCACCAGGACAACCAGCUGAUCAUCACUGAGCACAGAGCCUGCCCCACAGCCACUGCACCAAGCUAGGAGUUGGAGUGUGGUUGUGUUCAAAGUGGAUGAAACACAUGGUGGAUCUUUGGAAGAUUCCCUGGUUUCUGCUGCUUCCUGGCAGACGAUGGAAACUUUCUCUCCUGGAGACACGAAGAGGAAAGUUGUCCCCAGUCUCACCUCUAGAAUAGGAGAUGGAGACAAAACACAAAUGUGUCCCAUAUUGACAAUGUCUCACCCACGGUCUUCCCAGUGAAAUCAUGCUGGUGAUCAAAAGGGGCUGGAAGGGCCUCACUCACUGAGCAGUGAUCUCAAUCCCAGUCCCAUAGAACAUGUGCACCCUUCACCAUGGACUGUUUCCCUCACCCUGUUCUCUUUCUUGCUUUGAGCCAGAACACAUGACCCAGAGGGCUAGAGCCCUGUGUCUAUGGCCUGGGCUGCUCCUCCCUGACUUGGAUCCUGCCCAGAGCCUGUAACAAUCCACUGAUAAGGGCUUGAGUGGUAGAGGCAGCACUUUGGGGAACGUGCAAAGCAAUGAUGGAUGCGGAUCUGGGCUUCCAGCUUCUGAACAGAGGGCACAGCCUGUCUCAUGGGUGUGAUCCAGGCCAAGGGGCUUGAUGAAAAAUGUAAUGAAGUUUACCUUUCCAGUGAAAAAACCCUCAGAAGUCUCCCCAUUCUUACAGGACUGGUUUGGUUUGCAUUAGAGGGGAAGAAAAAAAUUUUUUUAAAUAAACACGUAGUGGUUUGUUGGGAAUCUCCUGAGAAGAUAAUGAUUUUAAACACUAUCACUCCCCUCUGAUAGAUUCAUGAUGCUGAGUGGACAGAGAAGAAGGAAAAGUUAUUGUUGAUCAUCAGAUACUAUUCUUGUGUUUCUUAGGGACUGAGAGAUAGGACUUAUGAAAGAAAGUUAUCAAAAUUUUCCCUCUUUCCUGUGACCUCCUUCUUGCUUCCAAUUCCCAAAUAUAUGUGUUUAAACUUCACAUCCUAUUCAAAUAGUUUUGAAUACAAAAGCUCAUUGACCCCUGUCAAGAAAAAUAUGUUCAAAAUAAAACUGGUAGCUUGGACCCAAAAACCUCCUGUGCCUCCCCAGUCCAGGUAACAGGGCCAAAUAAGCUUCCUAAACUCUGCAGACUGCAAGCCCUGGAAUGAGGCAGUUUCUCUCUCUCUCUGAUACAGCUUCCAGAGAUUUCCAUGGCAGUCAUGGAGAUGCAUUUUGUGAGUCUUCCUAUAAGAAAGAACUGUUCAGCUAUGAGGUGUACAGUAGGCUGACAGCCUCCAGCCUCCCUCACGACCUGCCAUAGCAUUGGAAUCAAACCCACAUUCUUUCCAGACAGCUCCCAACCAUUGACUGAGCGUGGCAGAGGGGCUAAGGUCUGGCCAAUUCUGCCCAGUGGUGGUGAGGGGGCCCUUCCCCUGUGCUGGGGGCUUUCCCAUUGGGUUGAGUGAGACUGUCGGGGUUCUCCCUAUCCAGCUCUGCGUCUUCCUCCUUAGAAUGUAUGACCUUCUAAUGAACUUCCUAGCCCUCUCACCUCCAUCUCACCACCUUCUUCCUGGAGAAUCCAAAUGGAUGGAUAUAGUUGAUAGAAGGGAGGAUCUGAGAAAGCAGGUAGUAAAGAUAGGGCUGGGACAGGGUCACUUAGUACCCAGAAGGUAAUCAGGAUCCCCAUCCGUAGCUGUGGAGGCUCAAUUGCCAAAAGAAGGUGAAGGAAAUAUGCCAAUUGGUGGAGAUGCUGGUGGCUGCAAUGAUUCAGGGAUCCGGGAAGGAAGGAUAGGGCAUUCGAGGCAGUAAUGCCAGCAGCUGGCUGUCAGGUUGCAUUGGUCCUAAUGGGCCCUGAGGAUAGUUAAACAGUUGAAAAGCAAGUGUGAAGGCCAGAGGCCAUCCUUAGCAGUUUAGAAAAAGCCUUCUUUUUCUGCUUGUGGAAAGCAGAAAAAAGCCAAAAACCAAACUCAGAACUUAAAAGCCUGAAAAAAAUUGAAUGCUCAGCUGAGACUAGGUUGUCAAGCCACAGUCAGAUCCUGGUUGGGAAAACCUGGGACCCUGCACAUGAAUGAGGAAAAGUGGUAGAGGGUGCAUGAUAUUUUACUCUCAAAACUAAUAAAAUACUGUAUGUCAAUUACACCUCAAUUUUAAAAAAUGAGAAAGUGGUCUACUUACUCACUAUUCCUGGGAAACACUCCAUGCUUUUUCAGUUUCCACUUGUUUGCUCACAUGACUUCUCAUCUGGCACUGGGUUCUGAGAACAGAAAAGUUACCCCAGACAGUCCAUGCCAGGAGGCCAAGUCCACACCAUCAACUGGUAAUGGAUUGAGAGCCCAGAUAUGUGCUGUCCUUGGACUGAAUUCUCUGCAGGUCAAACAGUCUUAGUUUUCUAUUGCCUCCUCCUUGGGGCGCCUGAGUGGCUCAGUCUGUUAAGUGUCCAACUCUUGGUUUUGGCUCAGGUCAUGAUCUCAUGAAUCGUGAAAUCGAAACCUGAGUUGGGCUCUAUGCUCAGUGGGGGGUCUGCUUGAAGAUUCUCUCCCUCUGACCGUCCUCCUGCUCAUAGGCUCUCUCUCUUAUACAUAAACAAAUCUUUAAAUAUAUAUAUAAUUUAUAUUAUAAUAUAUAUAUAUAUACUGUCUCCUCUAACAUUUUCUAUUAUAGUAUUAAAAACCUUCAUAUCAGCAUGUUACUUUUUAAAAAUUAUUUGAAAAAUGACACUUUUAGAAAAUAUAGAUGGAAAGUUAGUGUAUCCCUUGUUAUCACAACUGUCUCCUGGCUGUGCAUCUGUCUGAAAUUCCAAUUGUUUAUAUUUUCCUUUAAAUUCUACAAAUUUUUUAAUAAUACCCUAAAAAUUUUCUAAGACCCAGCUUUACUGCUUCAUCCUUCCUUAGGUCUUCUUUGAUUCCUCUGGCCAAUAUCCUCCCAGAACACCCAAGGAACCUGUGGCUCUACUCUUCCCUUUGAGGUACAUUUGCAUAGUCGUUGUUGGUGUACAUGUUUUACAUUCUCUUCAGCACUGGAAACUGCCAGAAAGUAAGGAUCAUAGAUUCUAUAACCACAGUCCCGGCCAUGCACAGGACAGUAGACUUUAGGUGUUUCCUUUUUC
rnacentral:lncRNA from 1 species